rnacentral:rRNA from 1 species
GAUCAUGGCUCAGGAUGAACGCUAGCUACAGGCUUAACACAUGCAAGUCGAGGGGCAGCAUGAACUUAGCUUGCUAAGUUUGAUGGCGACCGGCGCACGGGUGAGUAACACGUAUCCAACCUGCCGACUGACUCGGGGAGUAGCCUUUCGUAAAGAAAGAUUAAUACCCGAUGGCAUAGUUCUUCCGCAUGGUAGAACUAUUAAAGGAUUUCGGUCAUCGAUGGGGAUGCGUUCCAUUAGG